rnacentral:rRNA from 1 species
AUUGAAAGGCGGCUUCGGCUGUCACUUAUGGACGGACCCGCGUCGCAUUAGCUAGUUGGUGAGGUAACGGCUCACCAAGGCAACGAUGCGUAGCCGACCUGAGAGGGUGAUCGGCCACACUGGGACUGAGACACGGCCCAGACUCCUACGGGAGGCAGCAGUAGGGAAUCUUCCGCAAUGGACGAAAGUCUGACGGAGCAACGCCGCGUGAGUGAUGAAGGCUUUCGGGUCGUAAAACUCUGUUGUUAGGGAAGAACAAGUGCUAGUUGAAUAAGCUGGCACCUUGACGGUACCUAACCAGAAAGCCACGGCUAACUACGUGCCAGCAGCCGCGGUAAUACGUAGGUGGCAAGCGUUAUCCGGAAUUAUUGGGCGUAAAGCGCGCGCAGGUGGUUUCUUAAGUCUGAUGUGAAAGCCCACGGCUCAACCGUGGAGGGUCAUUGGAAACUGGGAGACUUGAGUGCAGAAGAGGAAAGUGGAAUUCCAUGUGUAGCGGGUGAAAAUGCGUAGAGAUAUGGAGGAACACC